rfam:Cricetulus griseus cell line CHO-K1, whole genome shotgun sequence.
ACAAAGGCUCUUUUCAGAGCCACCUACAAGUUUCUAUGUAAAGGGCU